rnacentral:misc_RNA from 1 species
GAAAUGCGAUAAGUAAUGUGAAUUGCAGAAUUCCGUGAAUCAUCGAAUCUUUGAACGCACAUUGCGCCCUCUGGUAUUCCGGGGGGCAUGCCUGUCCGAGCGUCAUUGCAAACCCUCAAGCCCGGCUUGUGUGAUGGGUCGCAGCGUCCCCGACUCUCUAGGGGACGGGCCCGAAAGGCAGUGGCAGCGUCGCGGUCAUCCGAUCAGCCCAAGCGUAUGGGGACUCACGUCACACGCUCGCGGCGCGGACCGACGCUCGCCCGAUCCAUAUAUCGUAACAAGGUUUGACCUCGGAUCAGGUAGGGAUACCCGCUGAACUUAA